rnacentral:rRNA from 1 species
UGGGGAAUAUUGCACAAUGGGCGCAAGCCUGAUGCAGCCAUGCCGCGUGUGUGAAGAAGGCCUUCGGGUUGUAAAGCACUUUCAGCGAGGAGGAAGGUGGUGAGCUUAAUACGCUCAUCAAUUGACGUUACUCGCAGAAGAAGCACCGGCUAACUCCGUGCCAGCAGCCGCGGUAAUACGGAGGGUGCAAGCGUUAAUCGGAAUUACUGGGCGUAAAGCGCACGCAGGCGGUUUGUUAAGUCAGAUGUGAAAUCCCCGGGCUCAACCUGGGAACUGCAUUUGAAACUGGCAAGCUAGAGUCUCGUAGAGGGGGGUAGAAUUCCAGGUGUAGCGGUGAAAUGCGUAGAGAUCUGGAGGAAUACCGGUGGCGAAGGCGGCCCCCUGGACGAAGACUGACGCUCAGGUGCGAAAGCGUGGGGCAGCAAACAGGAUUAGAUACCCUGGUAGUCCAGCGCUGUAAACGAUGUCGAUUUGGAGGUUGUGCCCUUGAGGCGUGGCUUCCGGAGCUAACGCGUUAAAUCGACCGCCUGGGGAGUACGGCCGCAAGGUUAAAACUCAAAGGAAUUGAC